GCCAGUGUGGUGUAGCGGUUUGAAUGUUGGACUAUGGCUCAGGAGACCAGGGUUUGAUUCCCUGCUUGGGCA
rnacentral:tRNA from 1 species